rnacentral:rRNA from 1 species
CCCUUAGAUGUUCUGGGCCGCACGCGUGCUACACUGAGUGGAUCAGCGGGUCAGGUUGCGCGAAAGCGUUUCCUAAUCUUUAAAUCCGCUCGUGAUGGGGAUUGACGGUUGCAAUUUUCUGUCAUGAACGAGGAAUACCUUGUAAGCGCGGGUCAUCAUCCCGCGCUGAAUACGUCCCUGCCCUUUGUACACACCGCCCGUCGCUCCUACCGAUUGAGCGAUCCGGUAAAUGUUUUGGAUUGGUGCCGGGGCGGCUAGCUGCCGGUCGCUACGAAAUUUUGUGAACCUUAUCGCUUAGAGGAAGGAAAAGUCGUAACA